CCACAAGCAAAGAGAGGUUUGGGCUCAAGAGAAAAACAGGGACAAUUCUUGUGUAUUUGAUCAACAAAGAGGCAAGGUUGGAGUUCCUCGGCAAUUGUUUGUAACAAAAAAUCCAUCUACUAUCCCUUAUGAAAUCACUAAGGCUGGGAUGAAGUUACCAUUAGGUGGAUACCUUUUUGGAUUAUGAUAAUUUAUCAAAGGGAAUUGUCUUUACUACAGAUCGG